UGGGGAAUUUUGGACAAUGGGCGAAAGCCUGAUCCAGCAAUGCCGCGUGUGUGAAGAAGGCCUUCGGGUUGUAAAGCACUUUUGUCCGGAAAGAAAUCCUUGGCUCUAAUACAGUCGGGGGAUGACGGUACCGGAAGAAUAAGCACCGGCUAACUACGUGCCAGCAGCCGCGGUAAUACGUAGGGUGCAAGCGUUAAUCGGAAUUACCGGGGCGUAAAGCGUGCGCAGGCGGUUUGCUAAGACCGAUGUGAAAUCCCCGGGCUCAACCUGGGGAACUGCAUUGGUGACUGGCAGGCUAGAGUAUGGCAGAGGGGGGUAGAAUUCCACGUGUAGCAGUGAAAUGCGUAGAGAUGUGGAGGAAUACCGAUGGCGAAGGCAGCCCCCUGGGCCAAUACUGACGCUCAUGCACGAAAGCGUGGGGAGCAAACAGGAUUAGAUACCCUGGUAGUCCACGCCCUAAACGAUGUCAACUAGUUGUUGGGGAUUCAUUUCCUUAGUAACGUAGCUAACGCGUGAAGUUGACCGCCUGGGGAGUACGGUCGCAAGAUU
rnacentral:rRNA from 1 species